GAUGAACGCUAGCGGCAGGCUUAACACAUGCAAGUCGAGGGGCAGCAUAAACAUUGCUUGCAAUGUUUGAUGGCGACCGGCGCACGGGUGCGUAACGCGUAUGUAACCUACCUCAAACAGGGGCAUAACACUGAGAAAUUGGUACUAAUUCCCCAUAACACUUGAUAGGGCACCCUAUUAGGUUGAAAGUUCCGGCGGUUUGAGAUGGACACGCGUUGUAUUAGCUAGUUGGUGAGGUAACGGCUCACCAAGGCGACGAUACGUAGGGGGACUGAGAGGUUAACCCCCCACAUUGGUACUGAGACACGGACCAA
rnacentral:rRNA from 1 species